GAUGAAGAACGUAGCGAAAUGCGAUACUUGGUGUGAACUGCAGAAUCCCGUGAACCAUCGAGUCUUUGAACGCAAGUUGCGCCCGAAGCCAUUAGGCCGAGGGCACGCCUGCCUGGGCGUCACACGUCGUUGCCCCCCCAUCUACUCCUUCGGGAUUGCGGGGGGCGGAUGAUGGCCUCCCGUGCGCCUCGUCGCGCGGUUGGCAUAAAUGCCAAGUCCUCGGCGACGCACGCCACGACAAUCGGUGGUUGCGAAACCUCGGUUGCCCGUCGUGUGCGGUCGUCGCGCAUCGAGGGCUCGAAAAAAUGGCCGGGCUCCGGCUCGGCUUUCAACGCGACCCCAGGUCAGGCGGGGUUACCCGCUGAAUUUAAGCAUAUCAAUAAGCGGAGGA
rnacentral:misc_RNA from 1 species